GAUCACUGUUGUCCAGUCUAUAUAGAUCUGAUAUGUUGUGUCAUUGUUUUAGAUGGCGGUGUGUGUGACAUCAUCAGUCGUUUGCUUUUCUCAGGCUCCGCCCACAACGCCGGCUUCGCUCUCAUUGCUGAGAAUGUUCUGGAUUCCUGUGUGUCAGCUCAGGACCAGGAAGUAACAAAGUAACAACUAUGCAGAGAAGAGAAGCUCCAUAUUAGAAGCUGCAGGGGACCCAUCAGAUGCCCAUUGAUCUGUGUGCAUUACCUGCUUCGUCUUUCACCAUGGCGGCCGCCUCUCUCCCUGGACAGGGCUGUGGCUGUCGGUGGGAUCAGGGACAGAGCCUGAUGAUCCUGACUGCUCUGCCUGCUGGACUCUGCUCUGCUGCAGCUGCUGCACAACACAUGGAGCAUUCCAUAGAGAGGAGUCUGCAGCCUCCACCUUACUGUGUGCAUUCCUGCUCCGCCACCACACGGGACAAACUCCAACCUGCACGUCACACACCUCCCUGUACACACAGGCGAUGGGUUAUAUCAUAAAAAAG